AUUGAACGCUGGCGGCAGGCCUAACACAUGCAAGUCGAGCGGAUGAAGGGAGCUUGCUCCUGGAUUCAGCGGCGGACGGGUGAGUAAUGCCUAGGAAUCUGCCUGGUAGUGGGGGAUAACGUCCGGAAACGGGCGCUAAUACCGCAUACGUCCUGAGGGAGAAAGUGGGGGAUCUUCGGACCUCACGCUAUCAGAUGAGCCUAGGUCGGAUUAGCUAGUUGGUGGGGUAAAGGCCUACCAAGGCGACUAUCCGUAACUGGUCUGAGAGGAUGAUCAGUCACACUGGAACUGAGACACGGUCCAGACUCCUACGGGAGGCAGCAGUGGGGAAUAUUGGACGAUGGGCGAAAGCCUGAUCCAGCCAUGCCGCGUGUGUGAAGAAGGUCUUCGGAUUGUAAAGCACUUUAAGUUGGGGGGAAGGGCAGUAAGUUAAGACCGUGCUGUUUUGACGUUACCAACAGAAUAAGCACCGGCUAACUUCGUG
rnacentral:rRNA from 1 species